UUACCGGCAAUGGUGGCUAUGAUGCAGUCGACGAACUCUGGUAUUGAUUGGUGCUUGCAUCAUGAUUUACAUUUGAGUGAGUGGCGAACUGGUGAGUAACACGUGGGAAACCUGCCCAGAAGCGGGGGAUAACACCUGGAAACAGAUGCUAAUACCGCAUAACAACUUGGACCGCAUGGUCCGAGUUUGAAAGAUGGCUUCGGCUAUCACUUUUGGAUGGUCCCGCGGCGUAUUAGCUAGAUGGUGAGGUAACGGCUCACCAUGGCAAUGAUACGUAGCCGACCUGAGAGGGUAAUCGGCCACAUUGGGACUGAGACACGGCCCAAACUCCUACGGGAGGCAGCAGUAGGGAAUCUUCCACAAUGGACGAAAGUCUGAUGGAGCAACGCCGCGUGAGUGAAGAAGGGUUUCGGCUCGUAAAACUCUGUUGUUAAAGAAGAACAUAUCUGAGAGUAACUGUUCAGGUAUUGACGGUAUUUAACCAGAAAGCCACGGCUAACUACGUGCCAGCAGCCGCGGUAAUACGUAGGUGGCAAGCGUUGUCCGGAUUUAUUGGGCGUAAAGCGAGCGCAGGCGGUUUUUUAAGUCUGAUGUGAAAGCCUUCGGCUCAACCGAAGAAGUGCAUCGGAAACUGGGAAACUUGAGUGCAGAAGAGGACAGUGGAACUCCAUGUGUAGCGGUGAAAUGCGUAGAUAUAUGGAAGAACACCAGUGGCGAAGGCGGCUGUCUGGUCUGUAACUGACGCUGAGGCUCGAAAGUAUGGGUAGCAAACAGGAUUAGAUACCCUGGUAGUCCAUACCGUAAACGAUGAAUGCUAAGUGUUGGAGGGUUUCCGCCCUUCAGUGCUGCAGCUAACGCAUUAAGCAUUCCGCCUGGGGAGUACGGCCGCAAGGCUGAAACUCAAAGGAAUUGACGGGGGCCGCACAAGCGGUGGAGCAUGUGGUUUAAUUCGAAGCUACGCGAGAACCUUACCAGGUCUUGACAUACUAUGCAAAUCUAGAGAUAGACGUUCCCUUCGGGACAUGGAUACAGGUGGUGCAUGUUGUCGUCAGCCUCGUGUCGUGAGAUGUUGGCU
rnacentral:rRNA from 1 species